GUGAAUCAUCAAAUUUUUGAACGCAUAUUGCACUCUCUGGUAUUCCGGAGAGUAUGCCUGUUGAGGGUCAGGUAAAUAAAAAUCGGUGUUUUGUUGCCGCUUUUCGUAGUGACGCAUCGGGUUUGGGUCGGCUUACCUUCGGUUAAGUGACCUAAAAUUUUGCAUGAUUUUCGAACGUAUUUAAAUAAUUUACGUACGUUUGCCAUUUCGAAUACUAGGUGUGGG
rnacentral:misc_RNA from 1 species